rnacentral:rRNA from 1 species
GGAUUAGAUACCCCGGUAGUCCAUGCCGUAAACGUUGGGCACUAGGUGUGGGGCUCAUUCCACGAGUUCCGUGCCGCAGCUAACUCAUUAAGUGCCCCGCCUGGGGAGUACGGCCGCAAGGCUAAAACUCAAAGGAAUUGACGGGGGCCCGCACAAGCGGCGGAGCAUGCGGAUUAAUUCGAUGCAACGCGAAGAACCUUACCAAGGCUUGACAUAUACCGGAAUCAUUUCAGAGAUGGGUGCGCCGCAAGGUCGGUAUACAGGUGGUGCAUGGUUGUCGUCAGCUCGUGUCGUGAGAUGUUGGGUUAAGUCCCGCAACGAGCGCAACCC